CAGCGCCUAACACAUGCAAGUCGAACGGUGCUAGCAAUAGCAUAGUGGCGCACGGGUGCGUAACACGUAACUAACCUGCCCAUCACUGGGGGAUAGCCCGCCGAAAGGCGGAUUAAUACCGCAUAAGACAACAGAAGGGCAUCCUUUAGUUGUUAAAGAUUUAUUGGUGAUGGAUGGGGUUGCGGGUCAUUAGCUAGUUGGUUGGGUAACGGCUGACCAAGGCGACGAUGACUAGGGGAGCUGAGAGGCUGGUCCCCCACACGGGCACUGAGAUACGGGCCCGACUCCUACGGGAGGCAGCAGUAGGGAAUAUUGGGCAAUGGGCGAGAGCCUGACCCAGCCAUGCCGCGUGCAGGAAGAAGGCUUUCUGAGUCGUAAACUGCUUUUGACAGGGAAGAAUAAGCUGUACGUGUACAGUGAUGACGGUACCUGCAGAAUAAGCACCGGCUAACUCCGUGCCAGCAGCCGCGGUAAU
rnacentral:rRNA from 1 species